rnacentral:tRNA from 1 species
AAAAGUUUAGUUAAUUUAUAACAUUAACUUGUCAAGUUAAAAUUAUUUUUAUAAAUAUCUUUUC